AGCGUCUUAAAAACUAUUAAAGAAAUGUUCAACAGAAGAAGAGUUUACUCAAAAGCAUCGUAGAGCGUAAGAAGAUGUCCACCGUGGCCGUGCGCGGCAUAGGUAACUCAGGUAAAAGUAUUUGAUUGAAUCUUGAUGAAAUAUUUGGGUCAAUAAAAACAAUCAGUAUUUGAUCACACAGUGUAAUUUGAUUGCAAGAGCGUAGGAACGUGUCUUCCCGUUCUCGGCAGCAGGAAAUAAUGUUCCUGGAGAUAUCGAGGCUGGAGAGAGACGCUGCAGUGAGGGCCGUGAACGAGUUGGGUCAGCCCAGGUCCAAGAUCACACACCUCGUCUUCUGCAGCCCAUCACGCCGCGUCACCACCACACCUGACUACCAUCUCACAAGGCUCCUCGACGUUGGCCCAUCGGUUCAACAUCUCUCGUACCAGCGAGGCUUCUCGAGAGACGCAGCCUCGUCACCAUAGAGAGAUCGCUGCUGCAGUACCUGAUGUUAAGGUCCUUGAGAAGGAGCUCAAAGCUGCCCGCAAGAAGUCUGAAACUGACCGGAUUCAACUUAGGCUGAAAAUUGCAGAGACGGCUAGCUAUAUUGCGUUCUGAGCUCGGGCUGCCUCAGGAGGGGCAGACUCACCCUGUGCGUACUGAAAACUCAAGGGGAUCUCGUCGCACUCGCAACUGAGGUUGGAUGUACCGUUAGCCUUUGUGAGAAGGCUUAGACUCGAAGAUUGAAGAAGUUAUUUACUUGUGAGUUGUGAAAUGAACACUCUAACUGAGAAAAGAGUGUCCGAAUUUUAAUAAUGUGUCUCAGCAUCCCGUUCUAUCCUUAUGAUAUUGAUGUUUGGUUGUACUAUCUUUCUUUUUUUUUUUUUUCUUUUCUUGUUUUUAUGAACUUUUUGUAUUAAAGAGAUGAUUCUCUAGGGGAUAUUCAAGGUUUUGCCGUUUGGUUCUG